CCGCCAAGCCUGAAGUCAGCUUAGUGCGCGAGGCUUCUCGGCAGAUCGUGGCCGGUGGUUCUGCAGGUCUUGUAGAAAUUUGCCUGAUGCACCCCCUAGAUGUGGUGAAAACCAGGAACUAGCCACUUGACCACACCUAAACAACCAGAAGGAGAAGAAAUAUGAUACUCCUGCUGGCCUGAAGGAAGGGACAUGGUGUCAGUGUGCCAUAGGUAUGUCUUUUCCAAGCCUUAUAAGCAUGAACAUCAUUCCCCUACCAUGUCCUCUCCACCCACCGGUUCCCAUUCCAGAGGCAAGGACCUUUGACUUUUAGCUGAUUUCAUUGUAAUUCACUUCAACAUUUCUGAAUAUUAUACAUAUACUGGUUGUAUUGAGUUGAACAGUGUCCCUGCCCCAAUUCACAUCCUUCCCAGAACCUCAGAAGGUGACUUUAUUUGGAAGCAGGGUCUUCGCAGAUGUGAUUAUUCAACUUAAGAGGUGGUCAUGUGGAAUAGAGUGUGCCCUAAGUCCACUAUGACUGGUAUUCUAAGAACAAGGAAAGAGACUCACAGAAAGAGACAUGCUGUAAAGAUGGCCGGAUGCCAUCUUCUC
rnacentral:lncRNA from 1 species